GAAGAACCUGUUCCUGAUGUCCAGCCUGAACCUCCCCUGUUGCAGCUUGACACUUCUUGUGAGCCCUAUCACUGGUCACUAAAGAGACGAUAGUGGUGCCUGCCCUUCCACUUGCCCUUGUAAGGAAGCUGAUUGCAGGGAUGAAGCUUGCUUUCACCCUAGAGGAGAAGAUCUCAGAGUUGGAGAUGGCAACAUCCCCCAAUUUCCAGUCCUAAGAAAUGAGAAGUCUAUCCUAUAGAUCCACCACACUCUUUAAGUGCCCUGGUUCUGGCAGUGGGAAGAAGACCCUAUCCACACUAUCCCCCCCUCAGCUGCACAGAGGGCACCUGAGACAAGUUGGUGAUUUAACUUCUGUAUUGUUGGACAAGUGUGGGAGGGUUCCUCUGGGUUGUGGGAGGGGAACUACAAAAGUGCAAAGCUACUCCAUUCUGUGUCUUCCAACUGUUUACCUCAGUCUGGCUGUCAAAGCAAUUCUGACAGUGUGGAUGAAAAAAAAUUGGCAAAGUUAAGAAAAGAGAAGAAAUGACAGGAAAAACA